UACGAAGGGUGCAAACGUUGCUCGGAAUUAUUGGGCGUAAAGCGCACGUAGGCGGCUUUGCAAGUCGGAUGUGAAAUCCCUCGGCUUAACCAAGGAAGUGCAUCCGAAACUGCAGAGCUUGAGUACUUAAGAGGAUCGCGGAAUUCCCGGUAUAGAGGUGAAAUUCGUAGAUAUCGGGAGGAACACCAGUGGCGAAGGCGGCGAUCUGGGAAGAUACUGACGCUGAGGUGCGAAAGCGUGGAGAGCAAACAGG
rnacentral:rRNA from 1 species